AUUGAACGCUGGCGGCAGGCCUAACACAUGCAAGUCGAACGAGUGGCGGACGGGUGAGUAAUGUCUGGGAAACUGCCCGAUGGAGGGGGAUAACUACUGGAAACGGUAGCUAAUACCGCAUACCAUCGGAUGUGCCCAGAUGGGAUUAGCUAGUAGGUGGGGUAAAGGCUCACCUAGGCGACGAUCCCUAGCUGGUCUGAGAGGAUGACCAGCCAGACUGUGAUUGUGACACGGUCCAGACCCCUACGGGAGGCAGGUGUGGGGAAUAUUGCACAAUGGGGGCAAUCCGUAUACAGCCAUGCCGUGUGUAUGAAGAAGGCCUUCGGGUUUUAAAGUACUUGCAGCGGGGAGUCGUUACCCGCAGAAGAAGCACCGGCUAACUCCGUGCCAGCAGCCGCGGUAAUAC
rnacentral:rRNA from 1 species